rnacentral:pre_miRNA from 1 species
GAUUUCAUCUGUAAAAGUCAUCAAUAAUAAAGUUGUAUAACUCAUCAAGAUCUAUAACUUUUAUUUUGAUCAUUUCUUUAUCUGACAAAGUUAUUUAUAAGAUUGUUCACAAAAUGUACAUAUCUCUUAUAUAGUUUAUAAGAUAUGUACAUUUUGUGAACAAUCUUAUAAAUAACUUUGUCGGAUAAAGAAAUGACCAAAAUAGAAGUUAUAGAUUUUAAUUAUACAACUUUGUUGUUGAUGACUUUUUCAGCUGAAAUC